rnacentral:rRNA from 1 species
GAUGAACGCUGGCGGCGUGCCUAAUACAUGCAAGUCGAGCGAACAGACGAGGAGCUUGCUCCUCUGACGUUAGCGGCGGACGGGUGAGUAACACGUGGAUAACCUACCUAUAAGACUGGGAUACUUCGGGAAACCGGAGCUAAUACCGGAUAACAUGUUGAACCGCAUGGUUUAACAGUGAAAGACGGUCUUGCUGUCACUUAUAGAUGGAUCCGCGCCGCAUUAGCUAGUUGGUAAGGUAACGGCUUACCAAGGCAACGAUGCGUAGCCGACCUGAGAGGGUGAUCGGCCACACUGGAACUGAGACACGGUCCAGACUCCUACGGGAGGCAGCAGUAGGGAAUCUUCCGCAAUGGGCGAAAGCCUGACGGAGCAACGCCGCGUGAGUGAAGAAGGUCUUCGGAUCGUAAAACUCUGUUAUUAGGGAAGAACAAAUGUGUAAGUAACUAUGCACGUCUUGACGGUACCUAAUCAGAAAGCCACGGCUAACUACGUG